AAGUAUACACCUUUUUAGAAACUGCAGUAGCCACUGAAGAACCUAUUUCUAGAGUAGCUGCUUAAGAAUUGAUUUCUGAUUUUUGUAAUUUUUCCACAUGUGUUUUUUAAGUUAAGUAGGUUUCUACUUGAUACUUUUCCAAAGAAUUUAGGUUUUAAUAAGAGUACAGAGAGCCAUACCCCUAAAGAUUUUUAAUUUCGAUGGAGCCUUUUUAAUGAGUCACUAUCUAAUUUAUCUUCAGAUUGUGAAAUAUACUUGUUCUAAAGAAAACUGGAAGUCUAAAAAUUGGGACAAUGGGUGCAUACUCUUCUAUUACCAGAAGUUAGAAAAACAAUGAUUUUUUUUUUUUCCUGAACCCAACUGUUUAUACUUCAGCCAAUCAAUACUACUUCAAUUUUUAUAAUCAUGGUCUUUAGUUUUACUGAUUCAUUUAUUAUUUGACUGAGGAUAUUUGAGAUCUACUACAUGUUUGCUCUAGAAAUUUGUUUUUAUAUUUUGCUUUAAUUCCUAUAGGAAUCCACAAUAAUAAGUUUACUGGGAAUUACAAAGGAUUUGAAUGGGGAUUAAAAAGAAUUCAUAUCCAAAGGAAGUGAUUCUUUUACUAUCAAUGCCCUCACCUGUCAUCCUCUCUGUCACCACAGCUGGCUUGGCUGGCAGCACCCUGAAGGGAUCCUACAGAUGACAGCACCAAGAAAAGUAGACUUUUCUUCUUUCUUUGCAAUUCUUUGGGACAGACCAGUCUUAACAGGGUGGUGAUGGCCGUCACAGGAGCAAGGAGUACACUUAACGUUAAGGAAUGUGGUGAGGGUGACUUCCCUUUUUUUUUUUUUUUUUUUUUUUUACUAUAAUAAUGGACUUUUGUCUUUAGAGAUGGCCUCCUGUGACAUCAGGUUAAAAUGAGGAUCUCUCUGGAAUCAGCGAAUGCAAAAUACUAACAAUCAUUUAUUUCUUAGUGUGAAUACGCUGAUGAUAUCCUUGUGGGUUUAGACAACACGAGGUCGCCUCAAGUGGGAUUGUUCCUCGUAUCCUGGGAAGGAAAAUCAAGAAUCUGAGCAGAUCAAACUGAGAACCUGAGAUGGACCAUACAAUCUACCGGGUGGACUUCCCAAACAGGUCUCCUCACUGCUAGUUAAUCUUGGUACUGAUUCUUGGUACCAGGGGCACAUUUCUACAUGAAAGACCCUGAAUAAAUAUUGGUGACAUUCUCUUAGAUUUCUUUUUCAGGUCUUUGAAUGGUUCCUGAUUGGGCUAAAUUGUAUGGCAUUACCUUCUGGGCUUCUUUAAGCCAUUGAGACAGCUGCUCUCCAUUGCUUAAGAAUUACUGGAGCAAAAUCAGCGUUUUGGUUGAGUUAUGAAGACAUACACAGAAAUAGUAAAUAGUAGCCCUGGGAUAGGACAGCUGAUCUUCUGAUGUUUGUCAACAACAACAGAUGCCUGAGUAAGCUGUCCAGGUAAUCUUCACUUCAAAGGGUCAGAGGAAGAAGGAACUGGCAGGAGUCGUUUUCAUCAGCCUGUGAUGUGGGCACACCAGCUGGAGAACUGGUGGCAUGUGCCAUUGUUGAUCCUCCAGAGCCAUGAUGUACAGAUUGGCUUAAAGACUGUCAUUUUCACACCAGGUGAGAUGCUUCCAUCCCCUCGCUGUGACCAUGAGAUGGGUACUUUUAGAGCCUGUUUUGAAUGCCCUGAUGGUUUAUCCACUGUGAGCAGGCUUCAGAAAUGAGGAACAGGGGAUGGAUAAAAAACUUUAGUAUCAUGUGCCCCUCUACGUAAACACUCCCCUUUCUGACCUAUACAUCUAAGGUCAAAGUAGACUCCAUUAUUCAGCUGGCUCUGAGCUCAUGCCUCAAAUUCCAACUUUUACAAUUAGUCUUGGAUUUAAAAAUGCAAAAAAAUGCCCUAAGCAUCAAAAUGGAAUGAUCAUUUCUAGGACAACAGAAUUUAAAGGAUCAGAUAUGUCCAAACUGUAAUGUUUGCAAAUAAAACAUCCACUAAAUGCAAUAUA